CAGCGUCAAGCGUCGUGAAACAUAACGCCCCGCAAAAUACAUCAUAGUGUACCCGGCAAACUCAGUGCCAGCAGCAAAGACACAGUUCAGAUGUGCUGAUGCCCCUUUCUGAGCCCAAACAAUACAACGUAAAGAGAAUGACCACAAAUCUCACCAGGUGAACAUUUGCUGUGCAGUGUCGUCUCUCUUGAAGAUGACGUCAGGAGGAGUGAUGCCGUUCUUCUUGGCAGCAGCUCUAAUGAUGGCCUCAGCCUCCUCCACUCGACCCUGAGACAGUAGCCAGAGAGGGGACUCUGGGAUAAACCUGAGAGAGAGACAGAGAGAGAAAAACUUAACAACCAGGAUGUUUGCAGUGCCUGUUAUCACAGACCAUAUACAGAAAGAGCAGCCAGAAACGACCCCAUCAGCACCCCAAAGAAGAACAAGGUGACUGUAAAAGGAGUUUUCCAUUCAUCAUCACACACCAGAUCCCACUGUGGAAAGUGUGAUGAGAAUAAUUUUUCUCUGUUGCCGUCUAAUCAUCAGUCAGACAGAGCAAAUAGUCGUUGCUCGAAGGUACGAACUUCACAUCUUCAGGGACAAACCAGCCGAGGAUGCCAGGCAUGGUUUUCAGAUACUGUCUUUCACGUGACCAUAUCAAAAUGAGGAUGUUAUACAACCUAGCUACCAACAAAUAAACCCUAAGAAAUUAUUUAAAAACUGUAUAACAUUGCUUUCACUACAUCUGCACAGGUCAAAUAUACACACUUGUGUUGUAUGUAUGCAUUGCCCAUGUAUAUUUAAAGAGGCAUCAUGGAGCUUCACAUGUGCUGUAACAAGCUUACUAAUACAACUAUAGCUAAUAUAAAUUGAUGCCUGUAGGUAAUAUAUUGCUACAAAAGCUGUUCCAAUAUUUUAUCAACCCAACAUAAUCAAAAGCCUGGGAAGCCGGUGGGAACAAAAGGUGUGUUUGUUCCUGCCUCACAAGACCACAUGCCAUUGAAAUGGGGGGAAAAAAGACGAGCUAAGCUACCUGUAAUAGUAGUAGGAAUUACUGUACGUUAAUGGGCUGAUAGUAUGCUGCCUUACCUCAGUCACAAUGGUGGACACGUAUCUCUCCUUGCUGAACACCCAGCCAUCCAGACAGCGCUCUGAGCUUUGGUUAGACCCGGCAUCCAAAGC